ensembl:lncRNA
UAUGAUUUGUUCAAGAGAUUAGUUUGUGCUACACUGAGGCAUGAUGCUGAAUUUCACCACUUGCCAGAGAGGUUCUGUCCAUUGCCCAUAUGUGCAAUCUAAAUGAAAACAUGCUGCAUGGCCAAAAUUUCUACUCCAGGUUGAAUCAGCACCAGUACCCACCACAGGUUCCCUGUAUGGAGAUGGUUGGUGGUGGCCACAUGUUCCCAAGUGUGGGUAAGUUCAGCAGAGAGCUGUGCUCUGCAUGUCACCGUGGUGUGUGUAACCCCAUAACACGGGGGGAAGGAGCCAUAACUAUCUAUAAUAUGGCAGGAGCCAGUAGUCUUUCCAAAAGUGAAGUUUCCAUUGUGUUUGCUUUUACAUCACCUCUUCCCGUUCAUGAGCUCCAGAAAAUCAAAUAACAUUUGACUUUCUUGAGUAAUGGUGAGUGUUGGACCACUCCCCUGCAGCCAGAGCACCGUUGACCUUCAGUGGCUUCACUCUGGACUUGCAGCAGGCCCAUCUGAAGAUCUUCCACUUGCCUUUACCCUUUCUCUUGGCAGCUAGAAAUGUGAAAGAAUGCAGUAUCAUCGUUAUUGUUCGGCGCAGCACUGAGUUGGCCUACCUCCCCAGAGCAGUAAUUUGCCAAGAAACUGGACACGCUCUCAAGACGGUGUGUUCCCAUGUUUGCCAAACUGCAGCAGCGACUCUUUGCAAAGAGCUCAGAAAAUGCGUUCUUCUCUCUGUCUGCUCUUAUCCCUGCUGAACAAAAGUAAUCAGGCGUCCGUGUUCAUCGCAGUCUGAAAGUUAUUUCACAUGCUUGAAGUCAAUUUGGAUAGAGCUGCAAGGGGCAGCAACACCUGCUUUGCAGCACAGCUGUGUGCUGAACCCUGUGCCGAUGGUUGCGGCCCAGCUUGGCCUGGUGCUGCCCGCCCACAGAGCAGGCCUCAGCAGGGACAAGCGGAAGCCCAAGGGUUGUGUUCCUUGGUCUGAGGCCAGCCUCAGGGGUCCGAAGGGCUUAACGAACCCAGGCUGUCAUGCUGUUACUCCUCUGUUUUGGAGCAAGAGGGAAAUAUGCAAAAUGAAAGCCAAAGCCUGAGGAGAGCAUCUCUCUGAAGCUGUCGGAGAUCUAGGGUCAAACCUAUGACUUCUGCUCCAAAGCACGUUGGCCUGUUGUCCAUCUCUGAUCAUUGUGUGUCCAGAUCAACCUGUGGAGAAGCAUUGCUCUGCUGCUUCAGAAGAUGUCUUAUUGGCUGGGGAUUAAACAGAAAUCCAGUGGGAAUCACAAGGCACUAUGUCAAACUGCAACUACUUCGAUUUCUAAAGAGCACACCAAAUCACAUCGCUGACUUUGCACUGAAAAAUGAGAAGAUGUAACCCAGUCAAAGUAAAGUGAGUAAAAAGGAGAUUCCUCUAUAUGCUGCCCCUACAGAUGAAAGCAGUGUUGAGGUGCUGGGAUCUGCAGAACCUGCUUCUGCCCUUGGAUAGAUCUGUGCCUACUGGGGCCUGUUGUGCAGGGAUUCAUCUCCUCACCCCUGUGAUUAUGGCUCAGGAAGUACUUCUACUUCCAAUCCACUGAAAGAAAUUAAAUCCACUUAAAUCCUUUCUGAGUGAGAGUUGGCAAGACCCAGGUGGCUGCAGAGAGAGGAGAAUUGGGGUUGUGCCAAAAUCACCUGCAGUGAGAACAACAGAGCUCCUGGGAAGCCCUGGGCCUCCUCCCUGUGCUUUUUUUUUUUUCUUUCUUUCUACAGAAAAGCUCUGUGUUUAAUUCUCUAUUUGUGUGUGGGGUCGGGAUGGUGCAAAUCCCAAUCCCUCAGCUGCUGGGGCUGGUGCUUUGCAGGAGCAGAAGGUCCUGCUGUGCCAGGGGUCUCUUGGUAGUAGUCCCCAUAGCUGGUCAGGUCCAAAGCACACAGAUGUGCACCCAGCACAUCUGCUGUAGCCAUCCGAUGAGUGGGAAGGUGCUGGGCCUCUGCUGGAGCAGAAUCACUUUCUUCCAAGCCAGCAAAGCCAAGCAGAAAGCGUGGGUUGCUGUCUCAGCCAUGUGAACGGAUUGACUGAAAUGGCCUAGUUUUAAUUGAAGAGGCGCUUUCAGGUGAAAUGUUGAAUCCUCUCACCCCCCACGAGAACACAUCUCAUCAAAAUUUUACGUGGCCUUGGGAUCUCAGCGUUUUAUAAACAAGGCUUUUCCAGACGUGUAAAUGAGAAGAGACGGGAAUAGCAGAAAUUGUUCACCAAGGGAAAAACAUAAAGGAUGAAAGAAAAGCACAGGAACUUACCUAAAAUAAAUGGAAAUUUAUAAAUAACAUUUGGGAGUUUUAUGUAACAGCAAUACUUGCUCUUGCAGAGGUCUGUGGCACCAGGACUGUACUGCAUCUUUCCUUCUUUUUUCCAGGGAGACUUUCCAGCACAACCUUUGAGUUGGGUUCCUGAAUGCGUUGCUGGGAU